rnacentral:lncRNA from 1 species
CCAGGGCCUUGUGCAUUUGAGGCAAGCACUCUACCAACUGAGCUAGAUUCCCAGCCCAACAAUUUUAUUUUUAAAUAUCAACUGUAAAGUCUCAUGUCUCAAAGUAACACACUAAUCCAUGUAAUUAUUCCUCACCCUUAUUAAGCUGCAUAUGAAGGCAGAGUGUGAUUGGCUUAUAUGUGAUUCACUUUAAAACUCAGAAUGAGUUUAAACCACAGUGAGUUGAGUUUUUUCAGUUCUUAGUAUUAGAAUGGAUUAUUUAGUUUUAAAAGAAAUCCCUAAACAAAUCAAUAAGAGAUAUGUAGAUAGUGAAUUUCCACAGCCACCAGAAGUUUCAAACAGUAUAAAGAACUAAGAAUAUUGAAGCUGGGCAAGGUGGUACAUGCCUGUAAUCCCAGUGGCUCAGGAGGCAGAGGCAGGAGGAUCAUGAGUUUCAAAGUCAGCCUCAGCAAUUUAGCAAGGCCCUGUAUCUAAAAAAAAAAAAGUGGAUUAUCACAAUUGUAAAGCUUUUAUUUUGGGUACCCAUUUCCCUUCAGGGUGGAGUUUAUGGAAAUGCACUUUGGAGUCAUAAUACUUCUUACCUAGGAAUGGGUAAGGAUUCCUAACUUGAUUUGUGACUGAAUCUUCUGAAUCUUGCAUCUGAUAUUCACACCUCUGAUAUUAAAAGUGAAGAAGGAAAAGAUGAUGGCGAUGAUAGAAGUCAUAGAGAUUUACAUCAUUAUUUGUGAUUGGGAGAGAAAUUUUAAAUUCUCAUUUUCUAGGUGUAGAAGCUGUAAGUCACUUCUGUGAUUUAUAAAAUUUGCUCCUUGGGUAGAAGGAGGGUGGAAAACAGCAAAGCAUCCUAUUUUCAUGUAUGAAAAAGUCACAGUGAAAUGCAUUUAUUUGUAUAAUAUGUAUCUAUUGCUAAUUAUAAUAAAAAUAAUUUUUAAAAGUUUGCUCCACUAGGAAGUGCAUGGCUGGGAUGAAAUCAGUUGUAUCUCCCUCCCAAUGUCAACUUUUUUUUUUCCCCCAAUAAGCAAGAAUGUCAUGUGAAAGAAAG